UCUCUGUAAUGCCACCAUGCUAAUCACUGUGUUCUGCUUACAGAUAACGAACUCUCUACUGGAUAGCGGCCCAUCACUACAAACUCUUAUGCUGGCCGACACCGAGUCAGAGAAGGCUAAAUGGGUGGUAGCAUUGAGCGAGUUACAUCGGAUCCUGAAAAUAGACAACCUUCCGAACACGGAACAAGAAGUGUUGGACAGUUCGCUUUCGGCAAUCCGGAGUGCGCUGAGUGCGCUCAUCAUCGACCCCGAUCGGAUUCUGCUUGGGACAGAGGAUGGAUUGUUCUGUUUAGAUUUGGACUGAAACGAAAUUGCACGAAUAGGGGAAAGCAAAAAGGUAUACCAGUUAAGGUAUAUAGCCGAGGAGCAGCUGCUGGACAUUUUGUGUGGCAAACAGAGACAUCUGCGACUACUUUCAAUACGCGCUUUGGAGGCUACAGACGUAGAGUGGAUUGAGGUGACCGAAUCCAAGAAUUGUAUAACAGCUUGCACCAGCAUCAUUGAACGUGGUCCACAGCUAGUGUUUUGUGUUGUCAUCGCUCUGAAAAGACAAAAUACCUCUCGAAUUGUCGUCUAUGUAGUUAAUAGGAAUCGUAGUCGUCAUCAUAAAAUGUGUGAAUUUACUGUUGCAUAUCCCGUGCAGAGUCUGCAAGUGCUUUCCGAUAUGCGACUAGCAGUGGGCCACCAGAGUGGCUUCACCGUCUAUUGUUUGCAGGGAGAGGCUCAAGCGAUGCGUAUGGGUGGGUUUAGACUAGUGAUAUAUUCAUGUGAAGAAAUAUGAUGAGAUUUAUAGAAAUCGCAUCAUCCGUUUACACUAGCGUGAACUUCUAUAAUGAAUAUAUUCAUAUCUUCGGUGAAAUUAUUCACCUGAAGUAGAACUGCAUCCAACUUUAGUGAUUUCUCACCAGUGAGAAAUUCACAAGCGUUUACAUGUGCUGAAUUUAUUCAAGUUAUAUAUACCUCGAAUAAGUGUAUCAUAUUUAUUCUCACCCGUUUACACCUAUUUUCACGUGAAUAAAUCCAUCUAUAGCUAUAGAUCUCCCUAAUGUAAACCCGCCAUAAGAUAAAACUAACUAUGAAAGAUGAUUUCCACGUUUAAAACGUGUUUUAUUCACAGCUCUUGUUCAUCCGGAGAAUCAAUUGAAUAAUUUUCUUGCGUAUUCCGAAGUCGACGCUUGGCGUGUUAUAGAAAUACAAUCCGGACAAGGUUCCAGUGCCCACGGAGAGUAUCUGCUAGUAUUUCAAACGUUAGCUAUUUAUGUCGAUUUGCAAGGCCGAAAGUCUCGAGACUGAGAAAUUAUGUACCCGGUCAUACCCACCAAUAUAACUGUCCCAGCAGAACUGUCAACACGUAACCUCCACUAGUUUAUUGUCAGAAAAAUCUCACAAAUACCCCGAUCAACCAUCACAACCAGAGCUAGUACUCACUCCAUCAGCAGCAGCAACCUCAUACCUACAGUAACCAACAGCAGGUGCAUCUGAUGAAUCACUCCAACUACUCGAUGGAAAGCGAGGAGGGUGAUGUGGAAGAUAUCCGAGGUCAUUCAUUAUCUAGUUCGAAGAUUAAUCUAAGUGAUCAUUCGCUGUAUGCAUAGCGUAAUGAUGCCGAAGCAGGAGGUUCAUCAGUUCCUUGUGCGUACGUUCUCUAGUCCCACUAAGUGUAACCACUGCACCUGAUAGUUGGUGAUCGUGAGUUGUGUGGUUUCGCUUGCCACAUGAUCUGCUGCCAGAAGGUGCCCACGCAGUAUCCUGUGCGAUCCGAUCAAACCAAACGGCCGCUCGGUAUUGAUCGGACCCGACAGAUACCGCGUACGAGGGCUACGUGAAGGUGCCCAAGCUAGGGGCGGUCAAGCGAGACUGGGUUCGACAGUUUGUUGUUGUUUGUGAUUUUAUGCUAUUUCUGUACGACAUCUCAACAGAUCGCAGUGAUUUACCAAGUGUUGAUGUUACUCAGGUAAGGGAUUUUUUUCAGAUGAAUAAUGAUGUGUCAUGUUUUCUGCUUCUCUACCACAGGAUAUGAGAGAUCCUGAAUUUGCGGUGUCUGGAGUUUGCGAAUGUGACGUUAUUCAUGCAGCUGAGAAAGACGUUCCUUGUAUCUUUAGGGA